rnacentral:rRNA from 1 species
GAUGAACGCUGACAGAAUGCUUAACACAUGCAAGUCUACUUGAUUCUACUUCGGUAGUUGAUGGUGGCGGACGGGUGAGUAACGCGUAAAGAAUCUGCCCUUUAGUUUGGGAUAACCUUUGGAAACGAAGGCUAAUACCGGAUAUUAUGGAGACGUCGCAUGACGACUCCAUGAAAGCUAUAUGCGCUAGAGGAGGACUUUGCGUCCCAUUAGUUAGUUGGUGAGGUAAUGGCCCACCAAGACCGCGAUGGGUAGCCGGCCUGAGAGGGUGAUCGGCCACAAGGGAACUGAGACACGGUCCUUACUCCUACGGGAGGCAGCAGUGGGGAAUAUUGGACAAUGGGCCACAAGCCUGAUCCAGCAAUUCUGUGUGCACGAUGAAGGUCUUCGGAUUGUAAAGUGCUUUCAGUAGGGAAGAAAAAAAUGACGGUACCUACAGAAGAAGCGACGGCUAAAUAUGUGCCAGCAGCCGCGGUAA